rnacentral:sRNA from 1 species
CGACCUGGUCAGGGGAGAGGUAGUGGAUGUGGGUAUCAAUCGCGCCGGCGGUGACAAUCAGGCCUUCGCCGCCGAUGACCUCAGUGGCAACGCCGAUGAUGAUGUCGAUAUUGUCCUGGGUAUCAGGGUUACCGGCGUUGCCGAGCUUUAAAAUCUUGCCGUCUUUGACCGCGAUAUCGGCUUUGAAGACGCCGGUGUAGUCAAUGAUCAGUGCAUUGGUGAUUACCAGGUCCGGGAUGUCGUUGACCGCGGUGAGGCGGCCAUUUUGGCCCAUGCCGUCGCG